rnacentral:lncRNA from 12 species
CUCAUUUGUUAGUUAAUUCAAUCAUUUAACGUAUUUGGAACACUCGCUAUGUGACCCCUCAAAUUAGAGUUGUGAAUGAUGUAAUUAUUUGCCCUAAAACCAUAGGGUUUUAACCAUAGUCUCAACCAUCAUAUCCCUUUCGGUUUCUGACAGCAAGUGCUUCGAGAUUGUAAUUUGAUGAGGACCUGGGGAAGAAAGGACCUUGAGAUGGCUCCGGGUGACAUUUUGAUAGUGUCCGACGCGGUCCUGAUUCAGCAACGGAAGGCUCUGGGUAGGGUGGUUGGCAGAAUGAAAUGGCAAAAUACAAAGGACCAGCACCCCACACUUCACGUUUUCCAAAUGAGCACUGGAAAGAAAGAAAUGGACAUAUGGUGA